UACAGAGGGUGCAAGCGUUGUUCGGAAUUACUGGGCGUAAAGCGCGUGUAGGCUGCAAUGUAAGUCGGAUGUGAAAGCCCUCAGCUUAACUGAGGAAGUGCAUCUGAUACUGCAUCGCUUGAGUGUCGGAGGGGAUGGCGGAAUUCCCGGUGUAGAGGUGAAAUUCGUAGAUAUCGGGAAGGAACACCUGUGGCGGAAGGCGGCCAUCUGGACGACGACUGACGCUGAGACGGCGAAAAGCGUGGGUAGCAAACAGG
rnacentral:rRNA from 1 species